GUCUUUUGCCCACUCACAAGCCAAAUUUUUUGUUAGUUGGUUGAUUGCUCCUUUAGUUGCUCCAUGAACAGACAUAGAUUUCAGUGAGACAAAACCAGAGACAGAGGACGUGAAUACAACACUUCCCUCACCCGAAGAUUUCAAGAGUGGAUAAGCAAGUUGGCUUAGAUGGAAAGCAGACUCAAAAUUGGUUGCCAUGAGAGUAGAAAAUUCUUUAGGUGUGAACUCCACCAUUGGCUUUCGAAUAUUUGUUCCAACAUUAUUAACAAGGAUGUUCAGCUUGCCAUCAAACACAGAAGACACAGUCUCCAUAAGCUCUUCUCUUUGGGCUGCGACUGAAACAUCACACCGUGAGCCACUAAUCCCAAAACCUAGUCCAUGCCAUUCUUCCAAGCAAUUGUUAAGCUCAAUCUCAUUCCUACAACAUGUGUGCACUCUGGCUCCAAGGCCCACCAAUUCCUCCACAAUCGCACGACUAAAAAACAAGAAUACCCACAUCUAAAUUCCCAUUAUGAUCAAAAUUCCGAAAUUAAAAAGAAAAAAAAAAUCCAUGGUAUGGAACACGUAAAUGCAAAACUACCCGAUUCCGCGAGUACCACCAGUAACAAGAGCUGCUUUCGUGUGAAGGGUCCAUCUAUUAUCUAUUGCGGUAGUGCUAGUACUACUGUGUGAUACAUUUUGUGUCAUAAGGGAUCUUCUAGUAGAUUUGCGUAGAGUUGUGCUCGAGAGACUUACAUGGAAGCGUCUUGAAAUCUCAGGCUUGAAAAAGCAACUCAGGUGGAAAAUGGUGUAGAGUUCAGAGGACAAGGAGGAAGAAGAAGAAGAGUGCAAGAGUGAAGGUGAUGUGAAAGCGAUGGUGCAAGACAUUUGCAGACAGUGAAAUUAGAUUUGAAAAUGUUCCAAAGAGCUCUGUUACUUGUGCUUCGCAGCAUGCUAGCGUGUGACCCAAUGAGAUUUCUAUUGGAG
rnacentral:misc_RNA from 1 species